rnacentral:rRNA from 1 species
AUUGAACGCUGGCGGAAUGCUUUACACAUGCAAGUCGAACGGCAGCACGGACUUCGGCCUGGUGGCGAGUGGCGAACGGGUGAGUAAUGUAUCGGAACGUGCCCAGUCGUGGGGGAUAACGUAGUGAAAAUUACGCUAAUACCGCAUACGAUCUAUGGAUGAAAGCGGGGGAUCGCAAGACCUCGCGCGAUUGGAGCGGCCGAUAUCAGAUGAGGUAGUUGGUGGGGUAAAGGCCCACCAAGCCAACGAUCUGUAGCUGGUCUGAGAGGACGACCAUCACUGCGAGAACUGAGACACGGUCCAGACUCCUACGGGAGGCAGCAGUGGGGAAUUUUGGACAAGGGGGGAAGGCCUGAUCCAGCCAUUCCGCGUGAAGGAUGAAGGCCCUCGGGUUGUAAACUGCUUUUGUACAGAACGAAAAGGUUUCUACUAAUACUAGGAGCUCAUGACGGUACUGUAAGAAUAAGCACCGGCUAACUACGUGCCAGCCGCCGCCGUAA